GAUGAAGAACGUAGCGAAAUGCGAUAAGUAAUGUGAAUUGCAGAAUUCAGUGAAUCAUCGAAUCUUUGAACGCACAUUGCGCCCGCCAGCACUCUGGCGGGCAUGCCUGUUCGAGCGUCAUUUCAACCAUCAAGCCCCCAGGGGCUUGUGCUGGGGCCCUGCGGCUGCCCGCAGGCCCUGAAAACCAGUGGCGGGCUCGCUAGUCACACCGAGCGCAGUAGCAUAUCUCGCUCAGGGCGUGCGGCGGGCUCCUGCCGUGAAACCCCCCACUGUAACCCCAAAGGUUGACCUCGGAUCAGGUAGGAAUACCCGCUGAACUUAAGCAUAUCAAUAGCGGAGGA
rnacentral:misc_RNA from 1 species